CUUACGUGUGGUUUGUGCUGCCUUAAGUCAGGAAAUCAUAUUCUGAAACCGGCACUGCAUUUCCUUACACUUAAAAGACUCUUGUUGAAGUUAUCUAGAUUUUUAAGAGUGUUUUUUAUGGUUCUAGUGAUUGAUUUACUAGAUUACAGUAUUGACAAUAGAAACACUCGUGAGAACCUUGCUAAUCAUCUUCGCUGACCUUUAAAAGUGACUUAAGUGUGUUUUUACGGUUCUAGUGACGGAUUAACAAGAUUUCUACAUUAUUAACAGGAGGAACACUCGUGAGAAGCUGGCUCAUCAUCUCUGUGGCCUUUGAAAAUAGUCGUAGUGAGAGAACAGAGCGUUUCAGAGUACGGGGCAGAUAGAGCACGGGUUGUGGCAGUGCUGUGUGGAGGACUGUGCUUCUUUUCCAUCACUUCUCUAUACUCAAUGUGGAGGAAGACUCCCUACAGCCCCUAUCUGACCCUGUUCCCAGCGCCCCACGAGAUACACUUCGGGGCUUCUGAUCCUUUCCUUCUGCUCUACACAAGAUACAGGUCACAGGUCACAGGUCACAGGUCACAGCAGCAGUCUACGUGAGAGCUGAAGGUAUGUUGUUUCUUGAUACCCUUUGUCAUUCCUGGUGAUCAUUGGUAAGGUUUAACCACAACGCUUUGAACACAACACAGUGGGGCGUGUAUCAUAA